UACGUAGGGUCCGAGCGUUGUCCGGAAUUACUGGGCGUAAAGAGCUCGUAGGUGGUUUGUCGCGUUGUUCGUGAAAACUCACAGCUCAACUGUGGGCGUGCGGGCGAUACGGGCAGACUUGAGUACUGCAGGGGAGACUGGAAUUCCUGGUGUAGCGGUGGAAUGCGCAGAUAUCAGGAGGAACACCGAUUGCGAAGGCAGCUCGCUGGAACGUUACUGACGCUGAGGAGCGAAAGCGUGGGGAGCGAACAGG
rnacentral:rRNA from 1 species